UACGUAGGGUGCGAGCGUUAAUCGGAAUUACUGGGCGUAAAGCGUGCGCAGGCGGUUUUGUAAGCCAGAUGUGAAAUCCCCGGGCUUAACCUGGGAAUGGCAUUUGGGACUGCAAGGCUGGAGUGCGGCAGAGGAGACUGGAAUUCCUGGUGUAGCAGUGAAAUGCGUAGAUAUCAGGAGGAAUACCGAUGGCGAAGGCAGGUCUCUGGGCAUUAACUGACGCUGAGGAGCGAAAGCAUGGGGAGCGAACAGG
rnacentral:rRNA from 1 species